GUGCUGUUUAUACCAGAUGAAUCUACAAAGCCAAGAACAGGAAUCACCGUAUCUCCUUCAGUAGACCUGAUACUAUAUGUCAUAACACUGUCAAUGCCUGGAGGAGAGUAAAAUUCUGACUCUGACCACCAAGCUGAUCUGCACAGAAGGGGAUACAUGAUUAUUCAAAGAAUGCUAGUUGAACCCAAAAUUUCAAACUGCAGCUACAUCUAUCUAAUGUUGUUUCCUCCACCUUCAGUUUUCUCAAGCAGCGUUGUUCUGACACAAACACUGUAACCACUUUUGUGAUAUUGAGCCUUACUCUGUGUGACUCCAGACUGAGCUGAGGUGUGCUUGAAAGAACAUGGGCUUUGAAGUCAAGUGCAUCUUGUCUGUGGUGUGUUUAACAAGUAUGCCCCUCUGAGACACAGCAUCCUUAUUUGUAAAAGAAGGAUAAUAGUGCCCACUUUUCAAGAUUACUGACAUGAGUAGAUUGAGUAGCAUAUGUAAAGUGCCUUUACAUAUAGGAUAUGUCUGUUAAAUGAAUGAUC
rnacentral:lncRNA from 1 species